GCCCUUUCUAUCUACUGACAAACCUGUUUAUCCUUCUCAACUCAGCUCUGCUAUGUCCUCCUCCAAGGAGCCCUCAGGCUCCCAUGACACCCAGUGCACUGAACCAUCUUAGCCCUGUGCACACCUCUCAUCCUGGUGCAAUGAACUCCUCUCCCUCUGGAGAAUAAAUUCUCUCUCUCUCUACCCAUAGCACCUAACACACUGCCUGAGCACACAAUAGGUGCUAAAUAAAUGCUUGUUGAAAUCGACUGAGCAUUGGCAAGAUUCCAGAACAUAAGUGCUAAAAGACUUUGUUAAAAAGGGGAAACCGAGAGGCAACUUGAUAUACUGGAAACCCUGAGCGUGGAGGUCAGCUUUUAAACCAGUAGAACGACUUAAGUCUCCCAUUUCCGACCGUAAGCUCCUCCAAGGCUUUUGCCCAGACUCCUAGACGACUGUACUGGACCCAGUUUAUAAAGAUAUCCUGGCUGGCCAGGAAAUCCCCCUUCGGUGUCCCCAGGCCAAAUCUGUGAAGAGAAAACUGAAGGCUCCCAUGUCACGAAAAACUAUGAUCAAAUAAAUUACUAUGCCUUUCCGCCUAUU